UCUGAUUUAAACCCGAUUUUGGCGCCAAAAAGAAAAGGGUAGAGGUCUAGGUUGCAUGCCGGUGCGCAGCGGCGGGGCGAUUCCAAGCAAGUCUCUCGCCAGUGGAAUCAACAGGUGCGUGAUGUAGCGGAUGUGAGGCGAUUCGACAAUCUUUUAGCCGAGGAUCGAGCAGUCGGUCAGGUCAGGUCGGCGCAGGCGAAUUUCAUGACUGUCGUGGUGAACGAGCUGGAGCGCUCGAUGAGCUUGCAAGAAGAGGGCUUUAGAGCAGGGAUUAAGCUUCUUUGCGUGGUGAGAGCACUUCUCCAAAAUACCAGUGGCUAAUGUUGAUUUGCUACUGGUGCUGGAUAGGCCGCGCUUGGAUCCUGUGAUAAUGAAUAGGUUCUUAGUCGAAGGCGAGUCUACUGGAAUACCUCUAGCAGUGGUGCUCAGUAAGGCGGAUCUUGUUACUCUGGAGGUACCCGUUUUAUUUCUUUUGCAAAGCUGAUAGAAGGAUCAUCUUUAGUUUUCAGAUGAAAGAUAGCUGGGAGAAGCAGCUGAUGGAGUCGGGAUAUAAACUAUACAUAUGCAGUGUAGAGACUGGUAUGGGGCCUCUUCAUGAAGAUAAAACAUCAGUUGUUUUUGGCCCAAGUGGAGUCCGAAAAUCGAGCUUGAUCAACUUUCUACGUGGAAAAUCUUGCCUUCCACCAGAUGACAUCCAGGCACUAGACGAAGUCGACAAUGAAGUCAUUCGCGUGUAGUAACGGACUGGAUCCGGUCGACACACGAUGCGGCACAUUUCUCUUGCAUCUGCCAUUUAGAGGGGCUAUGCUCGCUGACACUCCAGGUUUCAGCUAUCCCAGCUUGUCAAUGGUGACAAGGAACUCAUUAGCAUUGCUUUUCCCCCAGGAUCAAGGCCUGGAUACAAUAGCCGAAGGCUCAAGAUAUCAACGAAGGAAGAGCAAUGCCUUAUUUCAAGUGCCGAUAAAUCCGUACAGGAAAUGGACAGGCUUA